UGGGGAAUCUUGCACAAUGGGGGAAACCCUGAUGCAGCGACGACGCGUGAGCGAUGAAGGUUUUCGAAUCGUAAAGCUCUGUCCUAUGGGAAGAUAAUGACGGUACCAUGGGAGGAAGCCCCGGCUAACUACGUGCCAGCAGCCGCGGUAAUACGUAGGGGGCGAGCGUUGUCCGGAAUUACUGGGCGUAAAGGGUUCGCAGGCGGCAUGGCAAGUCCGAUGUAAAAGGCGAAGGCUCAACCUUCGUAAGCAUCGGAAACUGUCAAGCUUGAGUGAAGGAGAGGGAAGUGGAAUUCCUGGUGUGGCGGUGGAAUGCGUAGAUAUUAGGAGGAAUACCGGUGGCGAAGGCGACUUGCUGGACUUCAACUGACGCUGAGGAACGAAAGCGUGGGUAGCAAACAGG
rnacentral:rRNA from 1 species